rnacentral:rRNA from 1 species
AUUGAACGCUGGCGGCAGGCCUAACACAUGCAAGUCGAACGAGUGGCGGACGGGUGAGUAAUGUCUGUGAAACUGCCUGUUGUAGGGGGAUAACUUCUGGAAACGGUAGCUAAUACCCCAUCCCAUCCGAUGUGCCCAUAUGGGCUUAGCUUGUUGGUGGGGUAAAGGCUCACCAAGGCUGCGGUCCCUAGCUGGUCUGAGAGGAUGACCAGCCACACUGGAACUGAGACGCGGUCCAGACUCCUACGGGAGGCAGCAGUGAGGAAUAUUGCACAAUGGGCGCAAGCCUGAUGCAGCCAUGCCGCGUGUAUGAAGAAGGCCUUCGGGUUGUAAAGUACUUUCAGCGGGGAGGCGUUACCCGCAGAAGAAGCACCGGCUAACUCCGUGCCAGCAGCCGCGGUAAUAC